rnacentral:lncRNA from 1 species
CACCAUCGACGCGUCGCUCAGCAUGGUCAUGGGAGACGACAUGGUCAAGGUCAUCGCGUGGUACGACAACGAGUGGGGUUACUCCCAGAGGGUCGUCGACCUCGCCGACAUCGUCGCCGACCAAUGGAAGUGAACGCCGGACGGCGGCAUUAUUGCCCUGUGAAGUGACUCCUCUCGAAAUUUUCCCCAGCCAUCGUCACGGAUGAUCGAUUCUUUGUAAUGAGAAUUCGAAGUAUCGAGCUCCCAACAGCUUCUUUUUUUUCCUUUCUUUUCUUGUUCUUCUUUUUUCUUUCUCUGAUUUUUCAGUGUCCAGACACGGAUUAUAAUAGACUUCCUGCAAAGGAAGUCUCAACGCUGUGCAUCUGUAAUAUAUACUAUCGUUUGCCAGGUUCUGAUGUAGAAUUCAACUUGUUCUUCGAACAUUUC